rnacentral:rRNA from 1 species
GGAGCAAGAUCCCGGAGAUGGAUUCUGAGACAUGAAUCCAGGCCCUACGGGGCGCAGCAGGCGCGCAAACUUUACAAUGCGAGCAAUCGUGAUAAGGAAACCCUGAGUGCCUGUCGAUGCAGGCUGUUCAUAUAUCUAAAUCAUAUGUGAAGAAAGGGCAGGGCAAGACCGGUGCCAGCCGCCGCGGUAAUACCGGCUGCUCGAGUGAUGGCCACUAUUACUGGGUUUAAAGCGUCCGUAGCUUGACUGUUAGGUCUCUUG